rnacentral:rRNA from 1 species
AACUUUCCAAUGUGCGCAAGCGUGAGAAGGGAAUCCUAAGUGCUUAUGUUUUACAUAGGCUUUUGCCAAAAGUAAAUAUUUUGGAGAAUAAGUGGUGGGUAAGACUGGUGCCAGCCGCCGCGGUAACCUCAGCGCCACAAGUGGGGAUCACGUUUAUUCGGUCUAAAGCGUCCGUAGCAGGUUCUAUAAAUUUUCUGUUAAAUUGUUGCGCUUAACGCAACAUCCGCAGAAAAGACUGUAGAACUUGGAAUUGGGAGGAGUAUGCAGUAUUUUUGGGGGAGCGGUAAAAUGUUAUAAUCCCAAGAAGACUACCUGUGCCGGAGGGGGCAUACUAGAACAAAUUCGACUGUGAGGGACGAAAGCUAGGGGAGCAAAACGGAUUAGAUACCCGUGUAGUCCUAGCCGUAAACACUGCGAGCUAGAUAUGACACAAACUUAGUGUUUCUGUUGUAUCAUAACGAAGGUGCAAGCUCGCCACCUGGGGAGUAUGGUCGCAGGGCUGAAACUUAA